GAGUUUGAUCCUGGCUCAGGACGAACGCUGGCGGCGCGCCUAACACAUGCAAGUCGAACGAGCGAGAGAGAGCUUGCUUUCUCGAGCGAGUGGCGAACGGGUGAGUAACGCGUGAGGAACCUGCCUCAAAGAGGGGGACAACAGUUGGAAACGACUGCUAAUACCGCAUAAGCCCACAGCUCGGCAUCGAGCAGAGGGAAAAGGAGCAAUCCGCUUUGAGAUGGCCUCGCGUCCGAUUAGCUAGUUGGUGAGGUAAUGGCCCACCAAGGCGACGAUCGGUAGCCGGACUGAGAGGUUGAACGGCCACAUUGGGACUGAGACACGGCCCAGACUCCUACGGGAGGCAGCAGUGGGGAAUAUUGCACAAUGGGGGAAACCCUGAUGCAGCGACGCCGCGUGGAGGAAGAAGGUCUUCGGAUUGUAAACUCCUGUUGUUGAGGAAGAUAAUGACGGUUCUCAACAAGGAAGUGACGGCUAACUACGUGCCAGCAGCCGCGGUAAAACGUAGGUCACAAGCGUUGUCCGGAAUUACUGGGUGUAAAGGGAGCGCAGGCGGGAAGACAAGUUGGAGGUGAAAUCUAUGGGCUCAACCCAUAAACUGCUUUCAAAACUGUUUUUCUUGAGUAGUGCAGAGGUAGGCGGAAUUCCCGGUGUAGCGGUGGAAUGCGUAGAUAUCGGGAGGAACACCAGUGGCGAAGGCGGCCUACUGGGCACCAACUGACGCUGAGGCUCGAAAGUGUGGGUAGCAAACAGGAUUAGAUACCCUGGUAGUCCACACCGUAAACGAUGAUUACUAGGUGUUGGAGGAUUGACCCCUUCAGUGCCGCAGUUAACACAAUAAGUAAUCCACCUGGGGAGUACGACCGCAAGGUUGAAACUCAAAGGAAUUGACGGGGGCCCGCACAAGCAGUGGAGUAUGUGGUUUAAUUCGACGCAACGCGAAGAACCUUACCAAGUCUUGACAUCCUGCGACGGACAUAGAAAUAUGUCUUUCCUUCGGGACGCAGAGACAGGUGGUGCAUGGUUGUCGUCAGCUCGUGUCGUGAGAUGUUGGGUUAAGUCCCGCAACGAGCGCAACCCUUACUGUCAGUUACUACGCAAGAGGACUCUGGCAGGACUGCCGUUGACAAAACGGAGGAAGGUGGGGAUGACGUCAAAUCAUCAUGCCCUUUAUGACUUGGGCUACACACGUACUACAAUGGCGUUAAACAAAGAGAAGCAAGACCGCGAGGUGGAGCAAAACUCAGAAACAACGUCCCAGUUCGGACUGCAGGCUGCAACUCGCCUGCACGAAGUCGGAAUUGCUAGUAAUCGUGGAUCAGCAUGCCACGGUGAAUACGUUCCCGGGCCUUGUACACACCGCCCGUC
rnacentral:rRNA from 1 species